AUCUCCAGAAUGGGUGGAACAUAUUAAUGAUACUGAAAGAGAUAUUGGCAGUGAAUUCCAUUGGCCAUGUAUAGCUGCAGGCAAGCCUAUUCCGACAAUCCGGUGGCUGAGAAAUGGAUUACCGUAUUGGAAAGGAGAAUUGAGAUUUUCUAGCCUGAACCUUGAAGAUUCAGGCAUGUAUCAAUGUGUAGCGGAAAAUAUACAUGGAAUGAUUUAUUCAAAUGCUGAAUUAAAAGUUAUUGUGUUGCCUCCAACCUUUGAAUUCUACCCAAUGAAGAAAGAGGUUUUGGCUGCAAAAGGAGGGCAGGCUAUAAUUGAGUGCAAGCCUAGAGCAGCUCCUAAACCAAAAAUUACCUGGAGUAGAGGGACAGAAAUUCUUAAAAACUCAACU